AGCGGGGUUGAGCAGCCAGGAGUGCUCGUCGGACGUAUAGAGGUGUUAAACAUGCUCGUGCGGGCGAAGCUCAUAUGAGGGUUUAAGCGCUUCUGAGAGACCCGAAGGUCCGAGGUUCAAAUCCUCGCCCCGCUA
rnacentral:tRNA from 1 species